GAUGAACGCUGGCGGCGUGCCUAAUACAUGCAAGUCGAGCGACCGGACGAGAAGCUUGCUUUUUUCAAGCUAGCGGCGGACGGGCGUGUCACACGCGGAUAACCUACCUCUCAGACUGGGAUACCCUCGGCAACCCGCAGCUAAUACCGGACAAUAUUUUGAACCCUAUGGCUCAAAAGUGAAACACGGUCUUGCUGUCCCUACUAGCUGGCCACGCUCUCCCUUAGCUAGUAGGUACGGUAACGGCUUACCAAAGCAACGAUGCAUACCCGACCUAGGAGGGUGAUCGACCACACUGGCACUGACACACCGUCCAGACUCCUGCGGGAGGCAGCAGUAGGGAAUCGUCCGCAGUGCGCGAAGACCUGACAGUGCAACGCCGCGUGAGUGAGGAAGGUCUUCGGAUCGUAAAACUCUCUUAGUAGGGAAGAACAUAUGUGUAAGUAACUGUGCACAUCUUGACGGUACCUAAUCAGAAAGCCACGGCUAACUUCUUG
rnacentral:rRNA from 1 species